UACGGGGGGUGCAAGCGUUAUCCGGAUUCACUGGGUUUAAAGGGUGCGUAGGUGGGCUAGUAAGUCCGUGGUGAAAUCCCUGAGCUUAACUUGGGAACUGCCAUUGAUACUAUUAGUCUUGAAUAUCGUGGAGGUAAGCGGAAUAUGUCAUGUAGCGGUGAAAUGCUUAGAUAUGACAUAGAACACCAAUUGCGAAGGCAGCUUGCUACACGGUCAUUGACACUGAGGCACGAAAGCGUGGGGAGCAAACAGG
rnacentral:rRNA from 1 species